GUCACGAUAGCUCAAGUGGUAGAGUAGUGGCGUAUAUAGCCGAAGGUCGUGGGUUCGAAUCCCCCUCGUGACA
rnacentral:tRNA from 1 species